GUUCUGUUUGCAGAACUCCGAAGAAGCCUCAUGGCUUAAGGGGCAAUUUGGUUCCCAGGAGUUGAUUAUCUUUGCUUGGGAGGGGAGGGGCUGCCACUCUUGCAUUAGGGCAUAAUUCCUCUUGCUGUUGGAGGGCUGACUUCAUCAUGGGGUGGUUUGCCCGGCUCUACUUUUCCUGGAGCCCAGAUACAGUGACUAGGAAAGCAAGUCAGUCAUCACAAGCAAUAGAAGCCGUGGGUCGAAUGUCACUGACUAAUCAACCUGCCAUUGGUCAAUUACCCAUCCCCAUGAAGAGGUGCCACUGAUCUGGUUUCCUAUCAAUAAAUGUCUAUCUGGGUACAUCAGCUGCUGGUGAUGGAUUUAUUUUCCAAAGCUGGACAAGACCUGUUCAUAAGCCUUCAUCUCACAUCCUUGACUUACUGCUCUGCUCUCUGAAGAUGAGAAAAGAAGGGAGGGAAGGAGAAAGAGGAUGGAUUUUCUGGUGACAAAUCUCUUGACUAUGAGGCUCAACUCCAACAUAACAAGCAGAACACUGGUGAUACUUCCUGUGAGGAUAGUUUCCUGUCAGAAAAAGGGGCUCAGAGAAAAGCUCCCUAUGACUUUGUAACACACCAGAGGUAAGGACUAACUACAGAGGCCAAGUUCUGACACCUCAAUCUCCCAGAAAAGAGGUGUUGCCCUGUAAUUUGGAAGAGACAAUUUAAGGAAGAGGCACAGGAUGCACAGAUUGAGCUGAGACAGAAGACAAUACUCCAGGCAAGCUAUGCCACAGUAACAGACAGCACCCCUAUCCUUAGUGGUUCAAUGUAGCACACAUUCAUCUUUCACUCACAUUUUUUAUUCGAUCAGCCAGGUGGCUCUGCUCACUGUAUCACUCAGGGACUCCCGUGACAGAAGCUUCCCUCUGACAUGUUUCCUCAAUCACAGCAGCAGUGGGAAGAGAAUGAGCCUGGCUUUGGCUCUUGAAAUAACCCCUCAAAGUAACAUGUUUCUCUGCUCACAUUUCAUUGGCUGACACAAGUCAUGUGGCCUUAUCUGACCUCACAGGGAUUGAGCAGAGCAGAAAGAGCAAUCCUGCUUUGUGCACAGGAGAGGUGACCCAGAAUAAAAAGGAGUAUUUGCUGAACAAUAUUAAUAUCUCCCAAAAACAUUAAGUCAGGAUAAAGGAACAUUCAAAAAA
rnacentral:lncRNA from 1 species